UACGUAGGGGGCGAGCGUUGUUCGGAUUUACUGGGCGUAAAGGGCGUGCAGGCGGUCUGUUAAGUCUAGGGUGAAAGCUCCCGGCUCAACUGGGAGAGGUCCUUGGAUACUGGCGGACUUGAGGGAGGCAGAGGAGAAUAGAAUUCCCGGUGUAGUGGUGAUAUGCGUAGAUAUCGGGAGGAAUACCAGUGGCGAAGGCGGUUCUCUGGGCCUUACCUGACGCUGAGACGCGAAAGCGUGGGGAGCGAACCGG
rnacentral:rRNA from 1 species